CUGACUGGCCCUACGAUGGGCCAAUGGGAAGAGGAAAGUGCUUCCGUUGGCCUGGUUAGCAGAGGAGGCAGGAAGACAAGGGCGCAGUAAUUCCGAGUUUCUAGUUGGGUGGGAAAUUUCUGGGUUCACCUCGGAGAAGGAGUAAGGCGGAUAAAUGCCUAAAUUAAACCGCCAGAAUCCACCCUGCAAUUCAAAAACUACAGACCAGCUGUCUCCAGAUAUGACUUAGGUGCAGUACUAAAGAGUUUGCAUGUAUUAUUUAAUCUUCACAGCCCAAGUUAAGGUACUAUGUCAUGAAGAAUUGUGCCAGAAAAUUAUAUUUUGAAGAUGGCCCUUUUCCUCUACUAUCAGUAAUAUCUGCAAGCACCAUUUGAGGUGAAGGUUUGGCAGCUGUGCCCAUAUCAUGUCAAGUUAUAUGAUGAAUGAAACCCGAGAAGAAGAUGUCAUAUUUUAAUGUAUUGAUGGAAAACUGCACAAAUUGCCAGUUCUCACUAAAAGAACGGAAGAAAGGGAAGAACGGGAAGGAGACAGGA
ensembl:lncRNA